rnacentral:misc_RNA from 1 species
AAGUCGUAACAAGGUUUCCGUAGGUGAACCUGCGGAAGGAUCAUUAGUGAAUAUUAGGGCGUCUUUUCGGAGAGCCUGACCUCCACUUCUAACACUGUGCACUUGAUGGCUUAUUGAGAUGGAUUAGAACGAGAGUUCUUUGAAGUCUUGGUUUGCGGCUUUCAUUUUAAACAUUGGUACAAGUAUGUAACGAAAUAUCGAAACAAAAAAAG